rnacentral:lncRNA from 1 species
AGUUUAUAUCACAAAAUAGCACUCAAAAACUAAAAUGACCAAAAUAACACAUUUCUAAGUUUAUCCUUUGAAAAUUUUAAUUUUUUUAUUUUUCAAAAUUUGAAAUCUUAUCCCCAAAACCUCAUUUCUCAACUCUAAACCCUAAACCCUAAACUCUAAACCCUAAACCCUAAAUCCUAAACCCUAAACUCUAAACUCUAAACCCUAAACCCUAAACUCUAAACCUUAAACCCUAAAUCCUAAACCCCACCCUUUAACUCUAAACCCUAAGUUUGUGACUUUUGAUAAAACAUUAAGUGCUAUUUUUGUGACUUUUGACCUUGAUUGCUAGUUUGGGAACAAAAACUUGAUUUAGUGCUAUUUUUGUCUUUUUCUCUAAUUUAUACGUAUAUAUAUUUUAUAUAAAUAAGAACUUAUAUUAUAUUGUUUAUUUUAUAUUCACAAUGAAAUUAUCUAUAUAUUUUCUUAACACUUAAUAUAUUUUUGAUAAGAUUUAAUAAUAUUGUAUAUAAAAUCACAUUUAUGUUCUAUGCAAUAUAUAUUAUACACAUGAAAUAAUAUAAUAAAUUUAAGGGCAAAUCUCCAAAAUAGCAUCUUUCUAAGUUUAUAUCCCAAAAAUAGCACUCAAAAACUAAAAUGACCAAAAUAGCACCUUUUUAAGUUUAUCCUUUGAAAAUUUUAAUUUUUUUUAUUUUUCAAAAUUUGAAAUCUUAUCCCCAAAACCUCAUUUCUCAACUCUAAACCCUAAACCCUAAACUCUAAACCCUAAACCCUAAACCCUAAAAUCUAAACCCUAAACCCUAAACUCUAAACCCUAAAUCCUAAAUCCUAAACCCCACUC